AAUUAGGAUUUCACCUAGCUGAGAAAAAAUAGAACUAUGUGCAGCGUCAAAUUUAAAAGAUAAACAAUGUUUCAGAGCA